UCCGCGGAUGAUGCUACAUAAAACUUUCGUUCUACCGAGUAGGGUCGGCACAGCCGCCCUUUGUGGAAAAAAUUGGAGACCUGAACUGACGCAAG
rfam:Chlamydomonas reinhardtii strain CC-503 cw92 mt+ CHLREscaffold_14 genomic scaffold, whole genome shotgun sequence.